rnacentral:rRNA from 1 species
UACAGAGGUCUCAAGCGUUGUUCGGAUUCAUUGGGCGUAAAGGGCGCGUAGGCGGGCCACCCAGUCCGGGGUGAAAUCUUUCGGCUCAACCGGAAAAGGGCCUUGGAUACUGGUGGUCUGGAGGAAGGUAGGGGCAUGCGGAACUUCCGGUGGAGCGGUGAAAUGCGUUGAUAUCGGAAGGAACGCCGGUGGCGAAAGCGGCGUGCUGGACCUUUGCUGACGCUGAUGCGCGAAAGCCAGGGGAGCGAACGGG